UCCUACGGGAGGCAGCAGUGGGGAAUUUUGGACAAUGGGCGAAAGCCUGAUCCAGCAAUGCCGCGUGUGUGAAGAAGGCCUUCGGGUUGUAAAGCACUUUUGUCCGGAAAGAAAUGGCUCUGGUUAAUACCUGGGGUCGAUGACGGUACCGGAAGAAUAAGGACCGGCUAACUACGUGCCAGCAGCCGCGGUAAUACGUAGGGUCCAAGCGUUAAUCGGAAUUACUGGACGUAAAGCGUGCGCAGGCGGUUGUGCAAGACCGAUGUGAAAUCCCCGAGCUUAACUUGGGAAUUGCAUUGGUGACUGCACGGCUAGAGUGUGUCAGAGGGGGGUAGAAUUCCACGUGUAGCAGUGAAAUGCGUAGAGAUGUGGAGGAAUACCGAUGGCGAAGGCGGCCCCCUGGGAUAACACUGACGCUCAUGCACGAAAGCGUGGGGAGCAAACAGGAUUAGAUACCCUGGUAGUCCACGCCCUAAACGAUGUCAACUAGUUGUUGGGGAUUCAUUUCCUUAGUAACGUAGCUAACGCGUGGAGUUGACCGCCUGGGGAGUACGGUCGCAAGAUUAAAACUCAA
rnacentral:rRNA from 1 species